rnacentral:rRNA from 1 species
UUAGCCAUGCAAGUCUAAGUAUAAGCAAUUGUACGGUGAAACUGCGAACGGCUCAUUAAAUCAGUUAUCGUUUAUUUGAUAGUACCUUACUACAUGGAUAACCGUGGUAAUUCUAGAGCUAAUACAUGCUAAAAACCCCGACUUCGGAAGGGGUGUAUUUAUUAGAUAAAAAACCAAUGCCCUCCGGGGCCCCUUGGUGAAUCAUAAUAACUCAGCGGAUCGCAUGGCCUUGCGCCGGCGAUGGUUCAUUCAAAUUUCUGCCCUAUCAACUUUCGAUGGUAGGAUAGUGGCCUACCAUGGUAUCAACGGGUAACGGGGGAUUAGGGUUCGGUUCCGGAGAGGGAGCCUGAGAAACGGCUACCACAUCCAAGGAAGGCAGCAGGCGCGCAAAUUACCCAAUCCCGACACGGGGAGGUAGUGACAAUAAAUACUGAUACAGGGCUCUUUUGGGUCUUGUAAUUGGAAUGAGUACAAUUUAAAUCCCUUAGCGAGGAACAAUUAGAGGGCAAGUCUGGUGCCAGCAGCCGCGGUAAUUCCAGCUCUAAUAGCGUAUAUUAAAUUUGUUGCAGUUAAAAAGCUCGUAGUUGGACCUUGGGCCUGGCUGGCCGGUCCGCCUCACCGCGUGUACUGGUCCGGCCGGGCCUUUCCUUCUGGGGAACCGCAUGCCCUUCGCUGGGCGUGCCGGGGAACCAGGACUUUUACUUUGAAAAAAUUAGAGUGUUCAAAGCAGGCCUUUGCUCGAAUACAUUAGCAUGGAAUAAUAGAAUAGGACGUGCGGACCUAUUUUGUUGGUUUCUAGGACCGCCGUAAUGAUUAAUAGGGAUAGUCGGGGGCAUCCGUAUUCAAUUGUCAGAGGUGAAAUUCUUGGAUUUAUUGAAGACGAACUACUGCGAAAGCAUUUGCCAAGGAUGUUUUCAUUAAUCAGUGAACGAAAGUUAGGGGAUCGAAGACGAUCAGAUACCGUCGUAGUCUUAACCAUAAACUAUGCCGACUAGGGAUCGGCGGGUGUUUCUAUUUUGACCCCGUCGGCACCUUACGAGAAAUCAAAGUUUUUGGGUUCUGGGGGGAGUAUGGUCGCAAG